UGCUCUUGAUGACGAGUGGCGCACGGGUGCGUAACGCGUAUACAAUCUACCUUUUACAGGAGGAUAGCCUUUAGAAAUGAAGAUUAAUAUUCCAUGGUAUAAUGAUAUGGCAUCAUAUUAUUAUUAAAGCUUCGGUGGUAAAAGAUGAGUAUGCGUUCUAUUAGCUAGAUGGUGUGGUAACGGCACACCAUGGCAACGAUAGAUAGGGGCCCUGAGAGGGGGAUCCCCCACACUGGUACUGAGACACGGACCAGACUCCUACGGGAGGCAGCAGUGAGGAAUAUUGGACAAUGGAGGCAACUCUGAUCCAGCCAUGCCGCGUGCAGGAAGACUGCCCUAUGGGUUGUAAACUGCUUUUAUACAGGAAGAAACCGCUCUACGUGUAGAGUUCUGACGGUACUGUAAGAAUAAGGAUCGGCUAACUCCGUGCCAGCAGCCGCGGUAAUACGGAGGGUGCAAGCGUUAUCCGGAAUCAUUGGGUUUAAAGGGUCCGUAGGCGGGAUAAUAAGUCAGUGGUGAAAUGCAGGGGCUUAACUCCGGCACUGCCAUUGAUACUGUUGUUCUUGAAUUAUUGUGAAGUGGUUAGAAUAUGUAGUGUAGCGGUGAAAUGCUUAGAUAUUACAUAGAAUACCGAUUGCGAAGGCAGAUCACUAACAAUACAUUGACGCUGAUGGACGAAAGCGUGGGUAGCGAACAGGA
rnacentral:rRNA from 1 species